rnacentral:misc_RNA from 1 species
UUUCCGUAGGUGAACCUGCGGAAGGAUCAUUACAUUCAGUAGCCUAGCUACUUGUUUAUACCCUUGUUUUUUGCGUACCUAUUGUUUCCUCGGCGAGCUUGCUCGCUGGUUGGACAAACUUAUAACCUUUUUAAAUCUUGAAUCAGCGUCUGAGUUAUUUACAAUAAUUACAACUUUCAACAACGGAUCUCUUGGUUCUGGCAUCGAUGAAGAACGCAGC